rnacentral:rRNA from 1 species
CAGAGGGGCAAGCGUUGUUCGGAAUUACUGGGCGUAAAGGGCGCGUAGGCGGCCUUCUAAGUCGAACGUGAAAUCCCCGGGCUCAACCCGGGAACUGCGUCCGAUACUGGAAGGCUUGAAUCCGGGAGAGGGAUGUGGAAUUCCAGGUGUAGCGGUGAAAUGCGUAGAUAUCUGGAGGAACACCGGUGGCGAAGGCGACAUCCUGGACCGGUAUUGACGCUGAGGCGCGAAAGCCAGGGGAGCAAACGGGAUUAGAUACCCCGGUAGUCCUGGCCCUAAACGAUGAAUGCUUGGUGUGGCGGGUAUCGAUCCCUGCCGUGCCGAAGCUAACGCAUUAAGCAUUCCGCCUGGGGAGUACGGUCGCAAGGCUG